CAUUCAGAAAACACCAGUUUUUAUUUGAUCACCAAAGUUAAGCAGUUUUGAGCCCGGCCAGUACUUAGAUAGGGGAUCGCUUGGGAACACCCAAUACUGU